UACGGAGGGUGCAAGCGUUAUCCGGAUUUACUGGGGUUAAAGGGUGCGUAGGUGGGUAGGUAAGUCAGUGGUGAAAUCUUCGAGCUUAACUCGGAAACUGCCAUUGAUACUAUCUGUCUUGAAUACUUUGGAGGUAAGCGGAAUAUGUCAUGUAGCGGUGAAAUGCUUAGAUAUGACAUAGAACACCAAUUGCGAAGGCAGCUUACUACACAGUCAUUGACACUGAGGCACGAAAGCGUUGGGAUCAAACAGG
rnacentral:rRNA from 1 species